rnacentral:lncRNA from 1 species
AUGGGUAUUAUCUCUUACCUACCUGCCUAUCUAUUUCUCCAUCCACCCUCUAUCUAUUCAUCUCUCCCUCACCCUUCCCCAUGCCCUUGCAGUUCCACCAGAACAAUAGUGAUCAGAAUAGCUACUUCUUCCAGGCUUGCUAAAGAUUCAAUUAGAUGCAAUAAAUCUAAAGCUCCAUCCGAUAUUCCGCAAAGCAUUUCCCAGUAGCUGCAGUGCCUGAAGUCAUUCUAUUCUUGGCUAUAAUUCAGCACCCUUCUCACAUAAUUCUCUGCCUGGGAGAUAUCUGUCAGGUCUUUUUGUAUCACUUGUCUCCUGUUGGACAAUGCCAACAUAUCCAUAGAAAUUCCCUUCCCAAUGUGGAGAUUAAAAAAGGAGGGAGAGGAUGAUAACUGUUUUUCAAAGUGAAGCAAGUCUAGGUCACACUGAAGGUUUCUAAAAGGUAACCGCAAUAAUUCAGUCCCUCGGCCGUCCUCUCUCUGAAAGUCGGACAUGUACGUUCACGAGAACUAUUUUAUAUCACAGCUCAGUUAUUAAACCUGCUGCCACAGCCAUCAGCCCUUCCUUCAUAAGGGCUAGGCACUGUCACACCUCUCCAGUGCAGGCUGGUGGAGGGAGGCAGGCUUUAGAAUCACAUAGCUUAGGCUUGAAUCUCUGUUCUGAUACUAGCCACAAAUUCUGGUGCAAGGCCACAGGACCAUUAUUUAAUUCAGUUUUCUUAUCUAUACAAAGGGGACUCUAAUACUUCAUAGAUCAUUCUGAGGAUUAAAUGUGAUUGCCUUAGUUAUACAUUAAAACCAGGAGCAGCAAACAGUAGCUACUGGGAAAACGUUCACCAUUUUCCUUAGGAGUUACGUGGGCACAGUGUUGCUAGUCACUCAGUCGUAUCCAACUCUUUGUGGCCCCACAGACUGUAGCUGGCCAGACGCCAGCUGUCCAUGGAAUUCUCCAGGCAAGAAUACUGGAGUGGGUUUCCAUGCCCNNNNNNNNNNNNNNNNNNNNACCCAGAGACUGAAUCUGAGUCUCCUGCAUUGGCAGCUGGAUUCUUUAUCCUCUGAGCCACUAGGGAAGCUCCAUGUGGUCACAGAACAAUUAUCAAAGGGACCUACUGUAUAGCACAUAGAACUCUGCUCAGUGUUAUGUGGCAGCCUGGAUGGGAGGGAAGUUUUCUGGGGGGAGAACAGAUACAUAUGUAAGUAUGAUUGAAUCCCUUUGCUAUUCACCUGAAACUAUCACAACAUUGUUAAGUGGCUAUACCCCCACAUGAAAUUAAAAUGUUCAUUUUUUUUAUUUUAAAAAAUGUAUGACAUUCAAGACACACAUAUAUUCACAGAAAGAUCAUAUUAUUGAUGCUUGUUUGCUUGAAAUCUAGUUAAAUUUAACUCCAAUUAUCCUUCUCUGCCAAGGAGGGAAAAAAAGGAAAUCAAACNNNNNNNNNNNNNNNNNNNNNNNNNNNNNNNNNNNNNNNNNNNNNNNNNNUAUGGUGGAAGGGCCAGGGCUCUCUAGUGGCAAAACACACCAACUUAUGAGUCACGUGGGUCACUAAUGUGUGCUCUGCCACCCUGACCUCCUGUUUCCUUUAGAUCAGAGAGUCCGGGACCUGGGGGCCUCUGCUGUAGGUGCACCGGCUUCCCCCUCUGAAGGCAAGCCACCUUCCUGGGACGAUUCAUGGGUACACCUCUUCCUUAGGCCCCACAAUCUUUCCUCCACCUCCCAGGAUUGCAAAUUGCCUUUGGAUCAAGGGAAAGCAUCUCCUAUUUCUACUUGGUUCCCUCAGAGGAACUCNNNNNNNNNNNNNNNNNNNNNNNNNNNNNCAGCUUGGAGAAGAUAAAAUUAGGAACAAAAGCAUCCUCUAGGCCAGGAAGCCCAGAGCCUCUGACCUUCUCAAGUGAGGAAAAGAGGACAUGCAUAAACAUAAAUCAUCUCAGAGUUUCUCCUGCUAUAAUAGUAAUUGCAAAUAUUUGAAUAGCUAACAUUUAGUGAGCAUCAUGAUAAGCUCAGAAAAAUAUCAGCAGUUCUACAAUUAGUGACUAAACAACAAAGUCAAGCACCUUUAUGCUUAAAGGGCUCCUUCACACACCAUCUCACUUGGUUCCGUCCUCUGGGAAGCAAGCACAAAUGGGACAAUGGUCCCUGUCUGUGAUAAGUUUUGAAGGCUCUGCGUAGUCAAUCUGUGGGCUUGCCAGCUUGCAUGUCCCUGGAGCUCUUGAAAGACACAUCUCUAUCUGGGCUUCCUCUGUGGUCAAAUGGUCCAAGUCACGGUGUAAGAAUCCACACCCCAGCAUCACACUCCUUUCCCCUCCCUGUCCCACCCCAUCAUUGCAUGGGUUGCUCUGUUAAAUGGCUCUAAGUUCUGCACCUAAACUGAUACACCAACAUUGUGCUAAAGUCUCAACCCCUUCCAGGAGGCCACACCGUCUCUUGAGGAGCUUUUCUUCAAGACCCUGACAACUCUUUCCACAAGGAAACUCCUGUCUGCCACCUUGAGUCUCUGCCUGUUCCUUAAUGCCACCUCUUGGUUUCCAGGUCUGGGAUCCACUGACCCCACGUGCCUGCUGGAUUACCAUUCAUCAUCCAACUUCUUCCAGCUUCCUAGCUUCCACUGCCAACCUGUUUCCUUUUAGUUUAUUUCUAGGGCCCGGCUUGCCUUGUCCGGUAAUUCUCUAUCUCAUGUAGCCCUUUGUCUAGCUUAUCACAAUCAGAGGAGUCCACUUCCAUUAGAAGGUAGAUGUUGGCACUGACUUCUUCCCAACAGAAGGGUCAAAGGGUCAAAGAAAGGAACCUGGGAACAGCUUCAUGGACCCUCUUCCCCCACACCCAAGUGCUUCUCAUGAUGCAUACCUUCUUCGGGGAAGACGAGCUGGGGGGCUCUCUCUCUUAGUCCAUGAUCUUAGGGGUGGUAUUUGAGCUGAAAAGAAUGUUAUUCCAAAGGUAGUCAGAGUUGUUGUACCAAACAGGAGAGACAGAGGUUGGAGAAGAGGAGGAUGAGGCAGAGGAUAAAGGGCUUGGAUCAUGCAUCAAACAGAGAUGCCAGAGGCAGGUGCCUAGUAGUGAAGGCAGGAACAAGGCAGGUCAAGGGAAUGGAAUAGUGGGCAGGGCGAAUGAAGUCAGGCAGGUGGGGACCUCAGUCUAAGUAGGGAUAUAUGGGCCUGGACGACCAUGCUGAGUGGGUGAGGUCUGUCUUGGUGGAUAGGAUCAGUCCUUGCAGAAGCCCCUCAGGCUCUAUGGAUUCAGAAGCAGGUCAUGUUCCUGAAUUCUUACUGCACACAUGGCUCUAUGUCACAUGCUCUAUAUCAACUAAUCUAUACAACUUCUCUUAGAGGAGGAGAUGAUUGUGCACAUGUAAAGGUAUUGAUAAGGGCUUGGCAAAGUUAAUAUGAAGGCCCUGUCCUCGUGACUAAUGAAUGGAACACAGAGGUUACAUUUAACACAGGGUUCAAGUGAUUUCAGUGCUGCCUACCCCCAUUCCAGACUGGGCUUCCCUUGUGGCUCAGCUGGUAAACAAUCCACCUGCAAUAUGGGAGACCUGGGUUUGAUCUCUGGAUUGUGAAGAUCCCAUGGAGAAGGAAAAGGCUAUCCACUCCAGUAUUCUGGCCUGGAGAAUUGCAUGUACUGUAUGGUCCAUGUGGUUGCAAAGAGUCAGAUGUGACUGAGUGACUUUUACUCACUCCGGAAUGGUCCUCUAGCCUCUCUCCCAGGUUCUGGGCUUGAGUCUCGGGCUGGGCCUUGAUCCUAUUUUCUUCCAUAGCACUGUUUAACAUCUGCUGCAGAAACAGCUGAGCUGGGACUGCUGACUGCUUUUCAGCUCCGGGCACCCAAGCACAACUGCCCUUCGGCUCUUGUCAGUGGGACAGAAACACUGGACUGACAGUUGCUAAGUUUUUGAAGUUAAACUAUUAGCCAGGGAAAAUAAAGGAAUCCUGUACUAAUCUACUACAGGGAGCUAGUCCUUGGGGAAGCAUGUCCUCUCUUCUCCCAAGAAAUUGGCCCAGUUGGGACUCCCAGUUUGGUCAAUGUUUUGAGUCGCAAUGGGACUGACUUGAGAUAUCCCAGAGGGAAAUUGUUAACUUGACACCUAAUUAGUCAACCAGCAAUCUCCCACGAAUAUGAUCCUUCUCUGCUUCUGCUGG